GUCAACAUUAUGUUUGAGUUUGGUUUAAAAAUAGUUUUCUAGUUUUUAUUUUUUAUUUUUUUUUAUUUUUUUUUUUAAAAAUAAUAUUUAUUUUCUAUAUUGUCUUUUUUUGAAAAUAAGUUUAAUUAAAAAAUGAAAACCUUAUUUAGUACUAUUUUUUAUAUGAAAUUAAUAAAUAAAUAAAAUUAAAUUUCAUUUAUUAAUUUAUUAUGUCAUUGUAUAAUGGUAUUACACUAACUGUACAAAAGAAAUGUACUAAAUAUACAAGGGUGUACAAGACUACCCUUUAUGAAAGAUUUCAAUCGAUUCUGAAUCAUUCCUUUAUUU
rnacentral:lncRNA from 1 species